UAUAUAUAUAUAUUAACUCCCUCCAUCUUUUAAUAAAUCAUGUAUUACAUAAAAUGGACCAUGCUGAAAUGUGACAAUCAUUUAGGGCUAAAAAAUGAUCAGGAACGUUGUUGAAAAUAAACUUAAACCACUCUUUCCUAAGACGUCAGUGACUCCCAAUAGGUGAAAAUGGCGUCUGUCUGGAAUCAAAAAGCUGCAGUUCAAAACUAGUCAUUUUUGCAGCUUGGUUUCAAUUAUCUUUUUGGAUUGGGGAGGAAGUUUUGAGUUUUGAAAAUUACAGCAAUACACCAAUCUCUUUAUCUCAGUGAUAAAGGAACAUUUUUGAUUCCUCGAAUAUGACCCCUAUAAAACCAUCAACCAGUGAAAAGGACUGACACAUUUAAUUUAUAACACUAUAUAUAUAUAUCAAUGGCGUAGAUUUGGUUUGAACAUUGAGGGGGAUCAAAUGUGUGUGUGGGUGGGUGGGUGGGUGUGUGUGUGUGUGUGUGUGUGGGGGGGGGGGUUGGGUGUAGUUUAUUCAAUGUAGGGAUGCCGCGGUGUGAGUUUUUGACGAUUAGAUUACCGUCUGAGAAAAAAAUCGUUGUUAUCCGGUUUUACAGUUAUUUGCACAUUUUCUUUUAUGCAACAGCACUGAUGCAAAAAAUGCAUAUUGCAUAACAAUUGUGUAAACGUCUAAGUGGAUGCAUUUCUGGGGUAUAUGUGGACGCUAAGGGAAACCCUAAAAAAGGAGGUAGAGACGCUCCAAUCUAGGGCACAACACGGCUUAUGUGCAUACCAAACUCAGUGAUUUGCUUAAGUAAACAGAGUGCUUCAAAAGUGCAUAAAUGUAAGAUUAUUGUGGGUGCGCAACAUGUAGUUCACGGCAUUAAACAGUUUUUGUCUUCUGCAUCAGUUUAUUAAAGCAAACCAUUAUCUGCCAGACACCCCAACAUAAAGAAUCAGCAACAGACUCUAAAUACUCUCCACAACACCUUACAAAUAAACCUUUGGACUAUGAAUAAUAACGAGAACAUUGCUUACAGCUGGCAAUUUAAAGUCCGAUCAUGACUAAAAUGGACAUUUAUUGUUGAAUGCGGUGAAUUUACAGAAGCAAUGCUUUAAAUAAUGAGGACGAUUUAAGACACAACUUUUCAAAGUUUACUCGCUGAUAGCACGCAAAUGCACCGCGCGCUGUCUGCACCUUUAAACAUUACAAAAAGUGGCAUCUUUAAUUCAUCACUUUAAAAUCAACACUAGUGGUCGACCGAUAUGGAUUUUUAAUGGCCGAUGCCGAUAUACAGAGAGCAGGGUGGCCGAUAGGCCGAUACAAUGCUGAUAUAUAACACAAUGAUGAUUAUAGUAAAUAAUCAUAAAAUAUUUGUACUUUAUUUGCACAUGAAGAAAUUGUUAAUAUAUUAGAAAGAAGGACAAAACAGUACACACAAGUCUAGUUGGCAAUCGCAUUUUCUCAAAAACUACCCUAUCAAACCAACUGUACAUACAGUGCAUAGUGAAUAAGAUAUUUACUUACAGCACACGUGAAGCGCUUUUACUCUGAAGUUGCACCAGAGCAAAUUUAGCAGAGAUGGGCCACUUCUAUUAAAAUGAAUGGGAAAAAUUAGAACGCCCAACUGCAGCCAACGGUCAACGGAUGUAAAUAGGAAGUCCCGCCUUACAGGUAAAAGAGCCAAUCACCUUUUAGAUACAGACAUCACCCGCGCCUAAGCUAUUAGCUAUAAAAAUGUAAUCUGAGAUAAAUGAACACAAUUCAUGAUACCAGUGUUGUCAGAUUUUACUGCUGAUUUGAAAUAUGUUCUUUGAUCGUAAUCUUGACCAACCGUUUUGGAGAUUUUACUCUUUCUCCAUUCAAGUAAAUAGGAGCUGCACUUUCAUGACUUUCAUGUCUCCCGAGAGCGUUCCAAACAUGGCCGACAGUGGCCUGACUUGCUAGAAAGACUUUGGUCGCACUCACGCGCUCGUGCGUAUCCAGCUCGAGCCUCAAUCUCCUGACAGUUAAAACGGUCUAGAUCGCCUGCUUGGAUUGUCGUCAGGAUUUAUGAAUCAGAGGAACUUUUGAUCCUGAUCCUGAAGUUUUGAUUCUGGCUGAUGGAAUAUGCGCUUCAGAGGAAGAUAUUAGAUGAGCGCUCGACGGGAAGAAACCACUGGAUUUUCGUGAGUGUGUCAGUAAACCAGUCACUGCAAAGAAGUUCAGCAGGAUAAGAGUCAAAUUCUUCCAAAUAUUCAACCACACAAGCAAGACAAACUUGGAGUCACAAUUCACUUUCAUUAUAUGGUGAAAAGCUGUGGAAGAUUUUUCUUACCUGUCCUUUGUGUUCCCUGAAAAAGUCAUACAAGUUUGGAACGAAUGACAUUAGGGCUACAUCAAAAAUAAAUUCAACACUGAAGUGAUGCUAAUCAAGAAAGCCAUCUCCCAUGUGAAUGAAUGCAAGCUGUCCAAGAGUCACCAGAAUUAACGUGCGUCAGAAUUGAGCUUUUUAUAAUUUGUGCAACAUUGUAUUUUACACUGUUAUGCAAUGUAGUGCAUUUAUUUAUGCAUGCUCUUUAUAGUUCUCUUUUUGUUGAAAGCCUGUAAUGAAUAAAGUAGUAAAAUUAUAGUAAGUAAUAAAAGUUUAAAAAAGUAAUGAAAAUUGAAAGGAUAAAGUAAUGACAAUAA